rnacentral:rRNA from 1 species
GACAGAGGUGCCAAGCGUUAGGCGGAAUCACUGGGCUUAAAGCGUGUGUAGGCGGAUCGUUAAGUACCUUGUGAAAGCCCUCGGCUCAACCGAGGAAUUGCGCUCAAUACUGCCGAGCUCGAGAGAGACAGAGGUAAGCGGAACUAAUGGUGGAGCGGUGAAAUGCGUUGAUAUCAUUAGGAACACCGGUGGCGAAGGCGGCUUACUGGGUCUUUUCUGACGCUGAGGCACGAAAGCCAGGGGAGCGAACGGG